UUCUAUAUCUUAGUAGUUAAUAUUCGUUUUUGUUAGUUUUCUGAUUUAGUUUCUAAUUAAAAAGUUAAAUUUCUUAAGAUAAUGAUUGAUGUUUGCCCUAAUCUUAAAGCUAUAUAUAUUGUUGAUCGGUGAGAAUUAGGUAUUAUUUUUUCUGUGCCCAUUAGAUAGUUUUCACCGUUAUGAUUUUUUUAUACAGCUACGAUUCUGAUGAAUCAAAUUGUUUGUCAUGCAAAUACUGUUUUCAUUUACCUUUAGACGUCGUGUGCAUAUUGUUUGUUGUUUGUUUUAUUUUUUGCAUUAAUUCGUUGAUUUAUUGUUUUGCUGAUUUGAUUCUUUUGAUAUGUGUUUCAGUUUUGUAGAACGUGGGAGGUUCCAUCGACAAAGCUUUCGGACGAAGAUGGUUUUGACGAGAACAGAACGAGGUUUGGAAAGGUUACAAUGAGAUGUGGGCAUACGAUCAUCAAAGCGUGUUUGUUUCAUCGUACAAAAAAAAUCUGUUUUGAAGCUCACGAAAAAACAGAGGUUGCUCGCUCUAAUGUCAUUAUCGUGCAAGUUAUCGUCUCCGGUGGCUCUCUAAAUCGAGAUCGAUGUCGAGAUUGCAAAGCUUGCCAUGGAUGGAAGAUGAGCUUUCGGGAGUGUGUUGAAGUAUAGAAGAAAAGCUUCAAACUUGCAAGUGAUGGCUUCAGGAAAGACACCUGGACUGACUCAGGAAGCUAAUGGGGUUGCAAUUAAUAGACAAAAUGACAAUGAUGUAUUUGACGACAUGAAACAGCGGUUCCUCGCCUUCAAGAAGCAUAAGUACUUUUGCUUUUGCUUUUUCAAUGGUUUAUAAAUUACUUCAAGAAGCGGAUAACUUAGAACACUACAAAAAUUUGGCAGAUGCUCAAGCUCCGAAGUUUCUGGUGAUCGCUUGUGCAGACUCUAGGGUUUGUCCUUCUACUGUCCUGGGAUUCCAACCGGGUGAUGCAUUCACUGUUCGCAACAUUGCAAAUUUAGUACCUUCAUAUGAGCGUGAAAGAAAGAAUCCUCAUGACCUAAAUGGUGUCUAUAUAUUUAAUGUUCAAGAAAGAAAGUGUAUUGACCGUCCAAUAGCAAGAAAUUCAAUAUCAUAGAAGGAAGUAUGCAAACACUUGAUGUUGGAUGCAGGACUACGUUUUAUGUUUUCUACACAUAUAUGGCAGAAUAUAUUGGGUUCAAGUUUUCAAACAUAGAACCGAGAAAUCAGAAAAGCAAAACUUUUAUAUUUUUAAGCCGAAUUUCAUAUUCAUCGUCCUCUACUACAUGAGCAGUGUUGGUAAUGUUUAGAUUUCAUGUUGUACUUAUGAAUUGGUGCAGGAUUUGGAUGAACUGAAUAGUGGUAGAGAGAUGGUUUACGAGAGAAUCCAAACUCACUUAACUUGAUCGAAGUCAUAUCAAGAUACUGAAUGUGGUGCUGUUAAUGCUUCUAAUGGCCCCAUUAAUACACAUGUCUAU